rnacentral:tRNA from 1 species
GGUGGCUCAGUGGUAGUGUGCUUGCCUCGCAUGCAAGAGGCCCUGGGUUCAAUUCCUCAGUACCA